UACGGAGGGUGCAACCGUUGCUCGGAAUCACUGGGCGUAAAGCGCACGUAGGCGGCUCGUUAAGUCGGGUGUGAAAGCCCUCGGCUCAACCGAGGAAGUGCAUUCGAAACUGGCGAGCUUGAGUAUGGAAGAGGGUCGCGGAAUUCCCGGUGUAGAGGUGAAAUUCGUAGAUAUCGGGAGGAACACCAGUGGCGAAGGCGGCGACCUGGGCCAAUACUGACGCUGAGGUGCGAAAGCGUGGGGAGCAAACAGG
rnacentral:rRNA from 1 species